AUUCUUCUUCCAGGCCUUUUCGAAGAGAAUUCACUAUGGGAAAUUUGUAGCAGAGGCUAAGUUUCGAGCUUCGCCCGAGGACUAUACAAGUGCAAUAAAAGCACAAGACCGAAAAUGGCUGAUGGAUUUACUUACAUAUCCAAUGGUUGAAGAAGCAGUGAAGAGAAGGGUGGAGAUAAAAUCGAAAACUCAUGGUCAAGAAGUGGUGAUUAAUCAGGGAGAUGAACUGGUUUCAGGUUCAGAUCCGAAUUACAGAAUAAAACCAAACUUGGUUGGGGAUUUGUAUGGAGAUUGGAUCAUGCCAUUGAC